rnacentral:rRNA from 1 species
UACGAAGGGGGCUAGCGUUGCUCGGAAUCACUGGGCGUAAAGGGUGCGUAGGCGGGUUUUUAAGUCAGAGAUGAAAUCCUGGAGCUCAACUCCAGAACUGCCUUUGAUACUGAGAAUCUUGAGUAUGGGAGGGGUGAGUGGAACUGCGAGUGUAGAGGUGAAAUUCGUAGAUAUUCGCAAGAACACCAGUGGCGAAGGCGGCUCACUGGCCCAUAACUGACGCUGAGGCACGAAAGCGUGGGGAGCAAACAGG